rnacentral:rRNA from 1 species
UGCCUCAUACAUGCAAGUCGAACGAGGUCCUCGGACCUAGUGGCGCACGGGUGAGUAACAUGUGGGAAUCUACCUGAAGGUUCGGAAUAACUGCGGGAAACUGUAGCUAAUACCGGAUGUGUCUGCAAAGAGAAAGAUUUAUCGCCUUCAGAUGAGCCCGCACUAGAUUAGCUAGUUGGUGAGGUAAUUGCUCCACCAAGGCUACGAUCUAUAGCUGAUUUGAGAGGAUGAUCAGCCACACUGGGACUGAGACACGGCCCAGACUCCUACGGGAGGCAGCAGUAGGGAAUAUUGGACAAUGGGGGAAACCCUGAUCCAGCAAUGCCGCGUGAGUGAAGAAGGCCUUCGGGUUGUAAAACUCUUUCAUCAAUGAUGAUAAUGACAUUAGUUGAAGAAGAAGCUCCGGCUAACUUCGUGCCAGCAGCCGCGGUAAUACGAAGGGGGCUAGCGUUGUUCGGAAUCACUGGGCGUAAAGCGUAUGUAGGCGGAUCAAAAAGUUAGAUGUGAAAUCCCUGGGCUCAACCUAGGAACUGCAUUUAAAACUAGUGAUCUAGAAUUUGGUAGGGGUUAGUAGAAUUUCCAGUGUAGAGGUGAAAUUCGUAGAUAUUGGAAAGAAUACCAGUGGCGAAGGCGACUAACUGGGCCAUUUUUGACGCUGAGAUACGAAAGCGUGGGUAGCAAACAGGAUUAGAUACCCUGGUAGUCCACGCAGUAAACGAUGAGUGCUAGUCGCUGGGACAAUAGUUUCAGUGUCGUAGCUAACGCAUUAAGCACUCCGCCU